AACGUAAGAGACUUCAACCCCCGUCCAAGAAGAAUGGAGUUGUUGCUUCUGUACAUUUUCAGUGGUGGAAGAGACCCUCUGGAGUUGCUGCAGUAUAUCUGGGGCUGCUGUGUGUUCUCCUACUGGCUGGGAUCAUAGGCCUGUCUGUCUACUAUGGAGUCAUUGGUCAUCAUGCCUCAACAGAGAGAGACCAGCUACAGGACAGCAACACUCCAGAU